rnacentral:rRNA from 1 species
UACGUAGGUGGCAAGCGUUGUCCGGAAUUACUGGGUGUAAAGGGCGUGUAGGCGGGGAUGCAAGUCAGAUGUGAAAUUCCAAGGCUCAACCUUGGCGCUGCAUCUGAAACUGCAACUCUUGAGUGCUGGAGAGGAAAGCGGAAUUCCUAGUGUAGCGGUGAAAUGCGUAGAUAUUAGGAGGAACACCAGUGGCGAAGGCGGCUUUCUGGACAGUAACUGACGCUGAGGCGCGAAAGCGUGGGGAGCAAACAGG